UACGAAGGGGGCUAGCGUUGCUCGGAAUCACUGGGCGUAAAGCGCGCGUAGGCGGAUUUUUAAGUCAGGGGUGAAAUCCCGGGGCUCAACCCUGGAACUGCCUUUGAUACUGGUGAUCUUGAGUUCGGGAGAGGUGGGUGGAACUGCGGGUGUAGAGGUGAAAUUCGUAGAUAUUCGCAAGAACACCAGUGGCGAAGGCGGCCAACUGGCUCGACACUGACGCUGAGGCGCGAAAGCGUGGGGAGCAAACAGG
rnacentral:rRNA from 1 species